rnacentral:rRNA from 1 species
CCUACGGGAGGCAGCAGUAGGGAAUCUUGCGCAAUGAGCGAAAGCUUGACGCAGCGACGCCGCGUGCGGGAUGAAGGCCCUCGGGUCGUAAACCGCUUUCAGCAGGGACGAAAUUGACGGUACCUGCAGAAGAAGCCCCGGCCAACUACGUGCCAGCAGCCGCGGUAAUACGUAGGGGGCGAGCGUUGUCCGGAUUUAUUGGGCGUAAAGAGCUCGUAGGCGGUUCGGUAAGUCGGCGGUGAAAUCUCCACGCUCAACGUGGAGGGGUCCGUCGAUACUGCCGUGACUCGAGUCCGGUAGGGGAGAGUGGAAUUCCCGGUGUAGCGGUGAAAUGCGCAGAGAUCGGGAGGAACACCCGUAGCGAAGGCGGCUCUCUGGGCCGGUACUGACGCUGAGGAGCGAAAGCGUGGGGAGCAAACAGGAUUAGAUACCCGAGUAGU